rnacentral:rRNA from 1 species
UACGGGGGGGGCAAGCGUUGUUCGGAAUUACUGGGCGUAAAGGGCGUGUAGGUGGCCAACUAAGUCCGACGUGAAAUCCCCAGGCUUAACCUGGGAACUGCGUCGGAUACUGGAUGGCUUGAAUCCGGGAGAGGGAUGCGGAAUUCCAGGUGUAGCGGUGAAAUGCGUAGAUAUCUGGAGGAACACCGGUGGCGAAGGCGGCAUCCUGGACCGGCAUUGACGCUGAGGCGCGAAAGCCAGGGGAGCAAACGGG